UGUGACCCCCAGCCCCCGGAGCAAGGCGGGCAAGGCUGGGGCUGUGCAGGGCCCGGCGAGGCGGGGCCUGGCGAUGGCUUUGCGCUGUUGGAGCGUUUGCGGAGCAGCAAAACCCACGGCUUCAGCUGCGGGUUUUUGGAUUCCUUCCAGGAGGGUGAGAGGAGCAAGAAACAUUCCCCUAAAUAUUUGCGAGUUGGCAAUUCUGAGGCCUAUCUCUUUGCUUCCCAUGGAUGACUGAUAGGAAACACGAUGUCAAGAGAGAAGGUGUUUCAUCCAGCAACCUAGCAACUCUGAAAGUAAGUAGGGUCUGUUGAAAGCAACAUGAAAGCUGGGAGAGAAGAAUCCUGCAAUGCUACUUCAGAAUCAGAUUUGCUCUGCCUGGACUUGGAUGGCUCAAAAAUACUUUCAUAUUUUGCCUCACCAGAUCCUUGUUUUCCCUAGAAAAAGAAGUUGCAAAUGGUGUAGUUUUAGAGACAGAAAUUCACUUACAUGAAGCAAACUCCUUGAAUGCUCUUAGAUACCUGGCACAGCUGUCUCAAAGACAAGACAUUUAAAAAUCAGCAUUGUCAGUACACCACCUAGAAUCCUCAAACAUUUAGGACAAGACAGGAAACAAGAGCUUAAAAAAGGGAGGCUCAAACAAAAGUCACCAAAAACAUUAAAGAAAAUUCUCUGCAAAGCAAGCUAAAGUCACACAGCUGCAGAAGAGCACGUGAGUGUGUACUGCAUUUUGCCACCACAAAUUUGUGACUUGCAUUGAUUUGGGAUGAUGCUGCCCUACUGUGGGAAGACACAGGGACUACAAAUCACAGACAUGGCCUCAGAUGUCAGUGGGUACAAUGACUGACCUGCACACAGUCCCUGUGUUGGAACACAUGUAAACAACAUCUAAAAACCCCCCCAGAAUCUUUGCCUCGCAAUGUAUCUCUGGGUAGGGAAUGUCAGUUUCCAUUCUAACAAAUAUUGUGAUCUCUGACUUCAGUUUUUUAAAUACAAAAAUUGGCUCAGCAUUGCAUGCUGGACUCUGCUGGUAUCAUAUUUGAUCAGUGAAGCCAAAGCAGGCAGUUUUCUAGAAUAGACUGCUGUAUUUGCAUAAACCAGAUACCUUCUUGGGAAUAUAACCAAUGAAAUUGGAAUUAUUAUUCCAUACUUCAUCCUUGCAACUGUUCACUCUUGUUCCUCUGGCAGAAACUACAACUGCCACUGCAGUGGCAAUGGAAUUAACCAUGGAAAUGGCCAUCAUCCAUGAAAUCAAGAUCAGUGAGAAGACUACAACAACAGUGUUCCCAUCUAAACAGGACUUUGGAGAGAAUCAGAGAGGCUCACAAUGUCCCACCAAUUGUUUUUAAAUUAAAGCAUGAGAAUCAUUUCAUGUUACUUUGUGCAACUUUGCUUACACUGUUUUGUUUUUCAUGAGAUCUCCCUCACUCUAGUGUCCCACGUGGAGCAGUAGGGACAAAUGUGCUUAAUUUUAUCAGAUAACAGCACAACAAACUGAAGAACAGGGAAAACACAAAAGGAUCAGACUGCUGCAUCACACAUCUGAAUCAACUGUAAAGCCAAGGCAUUCCUCCCAUUCCAAACCCAUCCUAUCUUCAAGCUCUGCCAUGCUUCAUUUUCUAACUCUAAUUCUCAUCUCUAUCCAAAUAUCAAUCUUUCUAAAGGGAAAAAAGGAAAAUUUUUGUGUAAUUUUUGGCAUUUUAAAACACAUGGUGCAAUUCUUAGUGAUUACUAGGAAAAUCAUAGUUAUCACAAGGAAAAAAACAGUGAAGAGUUUUUUAAAAGUUGUUCUAAAGCUAGCAAUCUGUUAAAGAAAAAACAACUGAAAAAAGUGUUUUUGAAACAGUUGGCACCAUCUGUUUAAUAAAUAAAAGGAAAGAAAAAAAAUUACUGUAGUUAGCAUAAGCAUUGCUUAACUCAGCACACCAGCAAAUAAGUGAAAACCCCAUCAAUUUAUAUUUAAAUAAAACAUGAAUUAUCUGGAUUUUGCCAGAGAUAAACAGACUGUGACAUGGUAAUGUGCAACUACUUUUGAUAGCAUCCUCUUUAUUUCUCAAUGUCUCAUAGGUACUCAAAAGAUACUUAACCAAAACCCACAUUUAAUUCCCAAAUUCUGGGGUGAAAGCCAAGUAAACACAUUAUGAAGUAGGCAUCUGCUUACCCAAGACCAACACAUGGCAUUUAUAAUUUUGCCAGUUCAGUUAGUAACAUAUCCAAACAGAUGCCAAAGGAAGUAAUCCAAAGACUUCUCAGGCAACGGGAAUGAAUUAGCCUUAUUCAGAGGCAAAGCAUUGAAAACCACCUCAUGCAUGACACAAACAUACAAACAUGGUGCUAAGCUUACAAUGCACAGGAGGGGCAAAAAGAAAUGUUAAGGCAACAAUGCAGAUGCUCAGUACUAGAAAUAGGAGCCUCUUCCACACAUUGUCAGCUGUUGGCAGCUUCUCUUGCCCAAGUGCACAAUAUUCAUUUUCAGUGACAAGAGCAUCCCUUUUCUCUCAGCAACCUAAAUAUGGAACUCACUGGCAACCAAGGUAAGUUGUGCUUGAUCUACAGAAUGAUUUUGGGUUUGCUGUUACAAUGCCCAUAGCUCCAACACUGACAAAGGCAGACUGCUUUCACAAACACUGAUCAGUGUAUUCUGUGACAUCAGGCAAGAUUCAGUAAGGUUAACAAACCCCUAGAAUAUCUGGGAAAACAGGAAAACCUGGAAUAUACAGAUAGCAAUGAUGUGCUUGAGGAAUAUGCUGCAGAUACAUCUGUGUUGCUGUGCCAUCCCCCAAGAUCCAAAAUGGCACUGUUACAAGCACACUGGGAUAAGCCUGGAGUAACUCACCAUGCUGGAGAUCCCAGCUCAGCACCAUUUCACACACAACAUUUGUGUCCAUCAGGCCCUGCACCAAUGUGAGGUAAUGUGCCUAAGCAGACCUGUGGUGACUCCAUCCUGCUCAGGAUGCCAAAUCCAGGAAAACCUUUGUUCAAGCUCAGUGUUGCAGGAAUGUUUCUGGACUCCAACUGGUCCCAAUGAUAGCUCACAUGCUACUACAGCUAAGCUAAUCAAGCCCACCAAUGAAUAAAUUAGCUAAUAGGACUUGCUGGAACUGACUACACAUCUGUGGCCUGACUUGCUCACUAAACUAACCAGAUAAAGCCCUCAGGGGGGCUGGGGGUGAUGGUGGAGGUCACUAGACUGUAAGCAACAUUUUAAUCUUUCAGAUUUCAUGCUUGAUCAGAUUAGCCAUAGCUAAUGGUUUCUGCAGCCUUCUCUUCCUAGCCCUAAGAAUAUCAACAGAGUGCCCCUAAUACAGGCCAGCUACAGGGAAUUCAUGUGUUGCACCAGCAUAGCAAACAUUCCAAAAUUCAAUAAAUUAUACCAACAAGUAGAUACUGGAAAUCUGUAUUGAUUCACUCAGGACUUCAGGGGAUGUUGCAUCACCUGGAUGUAACUGAAGACAGAAAACCAUGAUGUGAAGCAGCUGCAGCACAAAACUUCACUGACUGUGCUGACCCAUGGCAUCACCUACUGAUGUCUGCCCCAAACCUCUCAGUGAACACUUACCAAAGCAAACAGACAAAAAUCCUGAACCUUGCUGAAAGACCAGGCACUGCCCAAUGACAUGACCCUGCAGUAAUGGAAAAGGCCAUCCAUCAAAAGGACACUGAAGUCCAUCUGGAGGUGAUGACAUAUGCUCAGAAAGAGCAGGGCUCAAUUUUACUGCCUCUGGGGCACAUUCAAGAUGCUGGGAGAAGCCUUGAAGGUCAGGCUUUAUCGAUGUGUGAAUAGCCUCUGCAUCAUGCCCACUUCAUUCCAACAAUUCAUUUUUCUUGUUUUCUUUCAAGAUUGCUAGCACACAAACCUCAGCUCAUUCUCUCCUCUAGAAUUUCAUUUGUCCAUUGUUUUUUGGACAUGUUUUGUAUUUGAAAGACUCAUAUUCAAAAUGUCAGAAAAUUUACAGACUAACAAUGCAACAUGGAAGACAAGACAUCUAGAAAAAUGAAGGGAGAAAAUAUUUUCAUUCAUGAGUACUUGACAGCAGACUAAGUCUCACUGAAUUUUGCACCAAGCAUAAUUUCAAAUAUCUCUUUUUAUAUUUUUAAGGAAAUUUCCAAUAAUGCACCAAAACAGCUUAAAAUAAAAAAAGUAAAGCAAAACCAAAAAAAACCGAAAACCAAAGCCCAUCAAAUUAAAUUUUAGGUCUAAAGGAACUUCUGAUCAAAAUGAACGUUGGAGACAUUUUACUGAGGUACUUCUGAAAAUUAUUCCGUAAUAACUUUGAAAAGUAAGUACUCUUUAUUGAAAAAAAAAAAAACACCAAAAAGCUGUGAAAAAAUUAGAACAGACAUUCAAAUGUUACCCUCUGACUCCUGGACAUAAUAUUGUGUCUUCUGUGUAGGUGCUGCCUGUGUGGGAUCACAGUAAAUCAAGUACAUUUGACCUAUGCAGCUCACCAUGACUGUAAGUGAAUGUCAGAGCCAGGCAUGCAGGAUGUCUGAUGCUGCAGCCCUGACUGAUAACUAAGAAGUCAGAUAUAAAUAAAUCUGGAACAGUUGGGAUUGACUGUUGUUUAGCACUUUCAGACAGACGUUCAGGGCAACUGGCAGGGGCUUUGAAAGCUGUUUCCUAUAUUAGAAUCAUGACAAAAAUAGAAGUGAGGCUGCAUUCCCUUGUCUUCUGCUAAAAUAGAUCUUACUCAAAAACAUUUGACAAGUUUGUCAAGGCAUAACUAGUCCACAGUCAGAUAGAGAACAAAAUGAAAAUUGGAAGUCCCAUGUUAAUUCAACAAAUAGUUACUUAUUGAAUUAAUAAGAGGGAAAAAAAUAAAAAAGGGAAACAAGUAGAGAAUACUAAGAGAUAAUAAGGACAAGGAGAAGCUAGCUUUUGUACUUUUUUUUAAAAAAAACUUCUUUUAAGUGAAGGCACAAUUAGAAUUCACUAGCCAGAAAAACCCCAGAGAUCUUUAAAAAUAACAUAAAAUGGGAAAAGCAUGUAUUUUACCAACUGUCCUUAGGAAUAUUGCAGGGGGGUUGAGGUUUGGGGUGUUUUUUGUUGCUUUUGGGGCUGUUUGAUUUGUUUUUAAAUUCAAGAACAGAUGCUGCAUAACUGCUGACAGCAAGGCUGAGUGGUGAGAAUGGAACAGGAAAGAGGAAGCAUGUAUGGGCUUCUCUUCUGAUUUUAAGUGUCCCAAAUACUGUUUACAGGGUAAGUAUUUGUCACAGUGUUAUCUUGCCUCUAGCAAUCAAGCUUCCGAAUAAAUUAAGUUUGCUUUUAUUUGGGUGUUUUUACAGUCAAACUGUAUCUAUCAAAAUAUUUCAGGAUUAGCUAGUUCAGUGACUGAACAGCCCACUGUUCUGCCAAAAUAAUCAGUGUCCUUAAUGAGCAAUUAAGAGCUUCCAGGGUCAAUGAGAAAUGGAAAUCUUUGCAUAUGGACCAGAAAUUUUGUACAACUUGCUGCUACUGUUUCAGACCACGAAUAAACUUAGGAACUACAUGCAAGAGGCACAUGUGAGAGAGAGCAGUAUUGCACAAAAUCAGAGAGAGCAGGGUACAGGAAGAAAAGUUUGAUUUAGCCAAGUAACCCUCCCAAAGAGA